UACAGAGGUGGCAAGCGUUGCUCGGUAUCACUGGGCUUAAAGGGCGCGUAGGCGGUGCGGUGCGGUUUCGGUGAAAUCCCUCGGCCCAACCGAGGAACAGCCGGGGCUACGGCCGUGCUAGACGGCAUCAGGGGACAGUGGAACUUCCGGUGGAGCGGUGAAAUGCGUAGAUAUCGGAAGGAACGCCGGUGGCGAAAGCGACUGUCUGGGGUGCCUGUGACGCUGAGGCGCGAAAGCCAGGGGAUCAAACGGG
rnacentral:rRNA from 1 species